AGAGACCUGACGUGAAUGAAGCAUCGCCUCUCGUCUUCUACCUCGAUACGGUACAGAGCUUCAUUUUUUCAUCUUUCUGCUGCUUCUGCGUUCUCUACGUUCUUCCUUCCUUCUCCCAGGCGUCCUCUGCAGAGACGCACCGUCUUAGGCUCAUGGUGCACAAGGUGGUGGAGGUGGUCGCUCUGCUCCAGCCGGCUGCCGUCCGUGUGCGCAGGUUCAACUCGGCUGGUCAGUCCGUCCUCUUCUCUUCUCGGCGUCAGGAGGACCUGGUUCUGCCGGGCUGUUUAUCUCUGUCGUUGAUCUGAACGCCUUCCAGAGAGUCUGUGCGUAAAGUUCUACCACCCGCAGAGGGGAGGCGGACUCCUGAACAAGAUCUGCCACAGCGAUGUGUGCCGAUGUGUUGAAGCGCGCUGCGGCGUACAGAAGAAGCGGGAUUUGCAGCAGGCCGAGCGCAGGGACAACGCCUGUGUGCCGGGCGUGGAUUACGGUGAAUAACCUGCUGGCAUUAACCUGUCCCCAGCCGGGCGGCGUCAGCACCGGGCCCGGAUUUAACCGAGAUGCUUCUCCUGUCCCUGCAGUUUACAAAGUAACCUAUGAACAGGCAGAGGCGGUGGCUCACACAGAUACGUACCACAUGAGGGUCGAGCAGGUGCUGAAAGAAGGUAGGGACGGUCGUAUCAAACCGUACAGAACAACGAUAAAAGUGUUCAAAACGCAGCUCAUUACUUUUUUAAAACUUCCCAUUCACUGCUUAACUCAUUUUACAUUUACAGCAUUUAGCACACGCCCCUUAUUCAGAGAGACUUACAGUCAGUAGUUACAGGGACAGUCCCCCUGGAGACACUCAGGGUUAAGUGUCCUGCUCAGGGACACGAUGGUAGUAAGUGGGGGUCUGAACUUGGGAUUUUGUGGUCUUUUGGUUCUAGGCUGCCACCACCUUUUUUGAAUUGUUGGUCAAUUGCUUUGCGAUUGAUUGCCGCUCUUGUGCACCCUGCACGGCAGACACGCCCACACCCAAUGACACAACGUUGUUGAACAAAAUGCAUCUAUUUUAAUUCCCGGUUUUACAUUUUUUACGCCGGGAGAUCUGGGUUUGGGUUCAUGUCAUGGUUCUGGUUUCGUUUUACCCCAGGCACAGACAGUCUGGUUCAAGGCAAAGUACGUCUUUUCAUGGCCCACCCCUCCUGCAGGCAGACUCUGGACCUGACUAAGGGCAGGUCCUACCUGCUCAUGGGCCACUACAGGGAUCUGGUCCAGUCGAAUGGGAGGUGUGAACUGAGUUCCUUUACUCCUGGAGAAGGAGAAUAACUGGGGACAAUACCGGAAUUCUGUCUUUCAGGUGACUCUCUGUCCUUGCUUCUCUCCACAGUUACUUGUACUCACUCAGCGAGUCCACCUGGAUUGAAUAUUGGCCAACAGAGGUGGAGCGUGCAAGUCCUGCAUUAAAGAAGAACUUAGCAGAUAUUGAAGCGUUUGCUGAAUACAUUAAAAUGAUGGGCUGCCUCUUUUAAAGUCUUCACAUCGAUCCAUAUUCACAUUUUUACAUUUUGUUCAUUCUCUAUGUAGCAUUAGCACUCAAUUAAAAAAAAUGUUACAAAUAAACUACAAAGAGAACACCAUCUUUUACGGCGUUUCCGUAAAGGAUCUUUUCUGGAGUCGGUGAACGCUCACUUCCACGGUUGCCAUUGAUCUGUUUUGAAGUGAAAAUGAAGUGAUUGUCACAUGUGAUACAAAGCAGCACAGCACACGGUGCACACAGUGAAACACUGUGUAAUGAAAAGGUUGACCUGCCUGCUGAUCUCAGAUUACAUCAUUUCGUUGUUGAGCCACGAAGGAUCGGGCGCAAUGACGUUCAGGCAGGAUUCGGAGAUGUCGAAAUUGUCUAGAUGGCUCCACCGAGCCGUAACUCCACCCUCACAGGCCAGUCACUUAUCAGCCCCCGGCAGGCCCGCCGGUUCCUGUAGGCCGGAGUCAGCAUGACUCGCUUUCGCACCGUGCAGCCGUUCCCUCUCGUCCGGAAUCAGGCUUCUGUAGGCAUGUACCCGCCCGCU
ensembl:lncRNA